GCACGGGUGAUGAAAUUGGUAGACAUAGCGGCUUUAAAAGCCGUGGCCUUAGGCGUGUGGGUUCGAGUCCCACACCGUGCACCA
rnacentral:tRNA from 1 species